rnacentral:rRNA from 1 species
AGUGAACGCUGGCGGUAGGCCUAACACAUGCAAGUCGAACGGCAGCACAGUAAAAGCUUGCUCUUACGGGUGGCGAGUGGCGGACGGGUGAGGAAUACAUCGGAAUCUACUUUUUCGUGGGGGAUAACGUAGGGAAACUUACGCUAAUACCGCAUACGACCUACGGGUGAAAGCAGGGGAUCUUCGUACCUUUCCCUCAUUCAUGAGCCGAUGUCGGAUUAGUUAGUUGGCGGGGUAAGGGCCCGCCAAGGCGACGAUCCGUAGCUGGUCUGAGAGGAUGAUCAGCCACACUGGAACUGAGACACGGUCCAGACUCCUACGGGAGGCAGCAGUGGGGAAUAUUGGACAAUGGGCGCAAGCCUGAUCCAGCCAUACCGCGUGGGUGAAGAAGGCUUUCGGGUUGUAAAGCCCUUUUGUUGGGAAAGAAAAGCAGCAGGUUAAUACCCCGCUGUUCUGACGGUACCCAAAGAAUAAGCACCGGCUAACUUCGUG